rnacentral:rRNA from 1 species
AGUGAACGCUGGCGGUAGGCCUAACACAUGCAAGUCGAACGGCAGCACAGUAAGAGCUUGCUCUUACGGGUGGCGAGUGGCGGACGGGUGAGGAAUACAUCGGAAUCUACUUUUUCGUGGGGGAUAACGUAGGGAAACUUACGCUAAUACCGCAUACGACCUACGGGUGAAAGCAGGGGAUCUUCGGACCUUGCGCGAUUGAAUGAGCCGAUGUCGGAUUAGCUAGUUGGCGGGGUAAAGGCCCACCAAGGCGACGAUCCGUAGCUGGUCUGAGAGGAUGAUCCGCCACACUGGAACUGAGACACGGUCCCGACUCCUACGGGAGGGCGCCGUGGGGAAUAUUGGACAAUGGGCGCAAGCCUGAUCCAGCCAUACCGCGUGGGUGAAGAAGGCCUUUGGGUUGUAAAGCCCUUUUGUUGGGAAAGAAAAGCAGCAGGUUAAUACCCCGCUGUUCUGACGGUACCCAAAGAAUAAGCACCGGCUAACUUCGUG